UACGUAGGCAGCGAGCGUUGUUCGGAGUUACUGGGCGUAAAGCGUGCGUAGGCGGUGUCUUAAGUUUGUUGUGAAAUCUCCCGGCUUAACCGGGAGGGUGCGGCGAAUACUGAGAUGCUGGAGUGCGGGAGAGGUAAGCGGAAUUCCCGGUGUAGCGGUGAAAUGCGUAGAUAUCGUAAGGAAGACCAGUGGCGAAGGCGGGUCUCUGGACAGUUCCUGACGCUGAGGCACGAAGGCCAGGGAGCAAACGGG
rnacentral:rRNA from 1 species